CCAACUGCAGCUUGCAGCAGUCGCUCACGCCAGUCCCCCUGCUCACGCCGCGCCCGCUCACGCCGCGCCCCCGCUGGCACGCAACUUCCGACUUUCAGACAUGUACGGUUUGUUUACAAGACGCAGAUGGACCAUAUUGCCAUAUUGAGUCAUGGCGGCAACAACUCCCGGGAAGCACCUGAGGGACAUGGCAAGCAUCCGAAAAUGGUGGUGCAUUAGUCUAAUGGAACGGUUCCAGAUUGACGGCCAUGGACAGAGGUUUGCAUACUGGACUAAUGAGGCCAGAGCAUUGCUCCAAGGUUCACUGCAGCCGAUAUACAGGGUCCCAAAGGUCAGCAAGAGGGAACAUGAGGUUUCGAUUAGAAAAGGAUGACAGGUGCAUCAUAUUGGAGUUACCAACAUGUGUGCUUUCUGUAAUCCUAAAUGAAGUGGUACUACAGGAAGGAGAUAAGGCAUACUUAAGAUUGGCUCUUGUGGGUCCACUGACUCCUUC